rnacentral:rRNA from 1 species
GAUGAACGCUGGCGGCGUGCCUAAUACAUGCAAGUCGAGCGAACAGACGAGGAGCUUGCUCCUCUGACGUUAGCGGCGGACGGGUGAGUAACACGUGGAUAACCUACCUAUAAGACUGGGAUAACUUCGGGAAACCGGAGCUAAUACCGGAUAAUAUAUUGAACCGCAUGGUUCAAUAGUGAAAGACGGUUUUGCUGUCACUUAUAGAUGGAUCCGCGCCGCAUUAGCUAGUUGGUAAGGUAACGGCUUACCAAGGCGACGAUGCGUAGCCGACCUGAGAGGGUGAUCGCACACACUGGAACUGAGACACGGUCCAGACUCCUACGGGGGGCAGCAGUCGCGAAUCUUCCGCAAUGGGCGAAAGCCUGACGGAGCAACGCCGCGUGAGUGAUGAAGGUCUUCUGAUCGUAAAACUCUGUUAUUAGGGAAGAACAAAUGUGUAAGUAACUAUGCACGUCUUGACGGUACCUAAUCAGAAAGCCACGGCUAACUACGUG